rnacentral:rRNA from 1 species
UAGGGAAUCUUCCACAAUGGACGCAGGUCUGAUGGAGUAACGCCGCGUGAGUGAAGAAGGUCUUCGGAUCGUAAAACUCUGUUGUUAGAGAAGAACACGAGUGAGAGUAACUGUUCAUUCGAUGACGGUAUCUAACCAGCAAGUCACGGCUAACUACGUGCCAG